GACGAACCGUGCGAACGUUAUUCGGAAUCACUGGGCUUAAAGCGCGUGUAGGCGGGACGGCACGUCGGUCGUUGAAAUCCCCCGGCUCAACCGGGGAAGGGGCGCCGAUACGACCGUCCUGGAGGGACGUAGGGGGACCUGGAACUUCCGGUGGAGCGGUGAAAUGCGUUGAGAUCGGAAGGAACGCCCGUGGCGAAAGCGAGGUCCUGGACGUUUUCUGACACUGAGACGCGAAAGCCAGGGGAGCGAACGGG
rnacentral:rRNA from 1 species